AGUCUGGUAGCUCAGUGGAAGAGCAUCCGCUUUGCAAGUGGAGGGUCGGCGGUUCGGUUCCGCCCCAGACAC
rnacentral:tRNA from 1 species